GUCAGUGAAUCUAGGGCAAAAUUCAUUCCAUCCUAAAGCAGAUGCAUAAAUGAGAUUAGUUGAAUUAUACCAUAUGGGCAUCUCUCCCUCCCCAUUGUUCCUAAAUGGAGCUAAAGAUGACAAGCUCAGCUGAAGACCUCUUGUCUCUGAUGGUCUGCACUUGGAUCAUGUAACUUGACCUGUCCUGCUCCAGAGAGACUCUUGCAGCUCUGAAAAUUGUCCUUUUCUCCUCCCAAGAGUGGGAUGAAAAAGACGGGGUGGGCACCACGCAAUGAGAUGACACACGGGAUCUGGGGAACACAGCAUUUCAGCCAACCAGGAUCUUUUGGGAGCUGCUGCAGAAGCCAGAACCACAUGGAAACGUGUCCUGGGAGCAAGAACCGAGAGCCUGCAUGUGCCUCAGAGGCAGCAGGGGCAGCUUGGCCAGGUGUGCCUCGCUGAAAUGAAGCACAAAGCUGUCCUGCUGGAGCGGGUGCCCAAGAGAUGUCACCUGCAAUCAGUGGAAGGAAAUGGGACAGCACCUUGGCACAUCCCUCAGCCUGUACUCCAAGUUGUCUUGAUCUCCACCUGUGGUCACCCUUUGGGUCAUUCUGCCACCAAUUGCAUGGCAUUUCUGCCCAGUACCAGCCUGUGUGUUCUACCAACCUGCUACCCAGGGGACUCCAGGGGAUCCCAGCACACCUUUUACUACUGUGUUGACAGUAACAAGGUACAUCACUUGAAUUUUGGCCAUGGAGUAGAGAUUGUUUGAAACAAUGAAGGAAGGCUUUCAUCAGUUCUCGGAACAACGAUGAACAGAAUUAUGCAUUUGUUUAACAAUCAGUCGUGCAUGAGAUGUAACGAUUUCCACUUCCUGUUUCUUGUCUAUCUUCCUGUUUUUAAAAAGUAUUCAAUAAAAAGAAAAUGUUGCUCAAAGGAA